CCUACGGGAGGCAGCAGUGAGGAAUAUUGGACAAUGGGCGCAAGCCUGAUCCAGCCAUGCCGCGUGCAGGAAGACGGUCCUAUGGAUUGUAAACUGCUUUUGUACAGGAAGAAACACUCCCUCGUGAGGGAGCUUGACGGUACUGUAAGAAUAAGGAUCGGCUAACUCCGUGCCAGCAGCCGCGGUAAUACGGAGGAUCCAAGCGUUAUCCGGAAUCAUUGGGUUUAAAGGGUCCGUAGGCGGUUUAAUAAGUCAGUGGUGAAAUCUGGUCGCUCAACGAUCAAACGGCCAUUGAUACUGUUAGACUUGAAUUAUUAGGAAGUAACUAGAAUAUGUAGUGUAGCGGUGAAAUGCUUAGAUAUUACAUGGAAUACCAAUUGCGAAGGCAGGUUACUACUAAUGGAUUGACGCUGAUGGACGAAAGCGUGGGGAGCGAACAGGAUUAGAUACCCUGGUAGUCCACGCCGUAAACGAUGGAUACUAGCUGUUCGGAGCAAUCUGAGUGNGUAGAGAAGAGAUAGUAUACCACCGAGGAGGUACGUCGCGAGAAGAGAAGACAANAGAAGUUAGAGCGUGAGAGAGACGACGGACGACGACGAGGGAGGAGG
rnacentral:rRNA from 1 species